CGGGAGCAAUAAGGGUUACGAGUAAUCCGAUGAGAGUACUGUAUGAAUAAGGAUCGGCUAACUCCGUGCCAGCAGCCGCGGUAAUACGGAGGAUCCGAGCGUUAUCCGGAAUUAUUGGGUUUAAAGGGUGCGUAGGCGGCCAUUUAAGUCAGCGGUGAAAUUUUGCAGCUUAACUGUAACAGUGCCGUUGAUACUGUUUGGCUAGGAUUUGGUUGUAGUGUGCGGAAUGUGUGGUGUAGCGGUGAAAUGCUUAGAUAUCACACAGAACUCCGAUUGCGAAGGCAGCACACUAAGUCAUUAUUGACGCUGAGGCACGAAAGUGUGGGGAUCAAACAGGAUUAGAUACCCUGGUAGUCCACACUGUAAACGAUGAUAACUCGCUGUCGGCGAUACACAGUCGGUGGCCAAGCGAAAGCAUUAAGUUAUCCACCUGGGGAGUACGACCGCAAGGUUGAAGCUCAAAGGAAUUGACGGGGGCCCGCACAAGCGGAGGAACAUGUGGUUUAAUUCGAUGAUACGCGAGGAACCUUACCCGGGCUCGAACGGUGCAUGAAUAUACGAGAGAUUGUAUAGUCCUUCGGGACAUGUAUCGAGGUGCUGCAUGGUUGUCGUCAGCUCGUGCCGUGAGGUGUCGGCUUAAGUGCCAUAACGAGCGCAACCCUUGUCAUUAGUUGCCAUCAGGUCAAGCUGGGGACUUUAAUGAGACUGCCACCGUAAGGUGUGAGGAAGGGGGGGAUGACGUCAAAUCAGCACGGCCCUUAUGUCCGGGGCGACACACGUGUUACAAUGGGAGGUACAGAGGGCAGCUAUCCGGUGACGGAAUGCUAAUCUCCAAAACCUUUCUCAGUUCGGAUUGGAGUCUGCAACUCGACUCCAUGAAGGUGGAUUCGCUAGUAAUCGCGCAUCAGCCAUGGCGCGGUGAAUACGUUCCCGGGCCUUGUACACACCGCCCGUCAAG
rnacentral:rRNA from 1 species